CAGUGUGUGGGGGUGUUUGUCCAGUGUGUGUGUGUGUGUGUUUGUCCAGUGUGUGUGUGUGUGUGUGUGUUUGUCCAGUGUGUGUGUGUGUGUGUGUUUGUCCAGUGUGUGUGUGUGUGUGUGUGUCCAGUGUGUGUGUGUGUGUGUGUGUGUGUCCAGUGUGUGUGUGUGUGUCCAGUGUGUGUGUGUGUGUCCAGUGUGUGUGUGUGUGUCCAGUGUGUGUGUGUGUGUGUCCAGUGUGUGUGAGUCCAGUGUGUGUGUGUGUGUGAGUCCAGUGUGUGUGUGUUUGUCCAGUGUGUGUGUGUGUUUGUCCAGUGUGUGUGUGUGUGUGUGUGUGUGUGUGUGUGUUUGUCCAGUGUGUUUGUGUGUGUGUUUGUCCAGUGUGUGUAUGUGUGUGUUUGUCCAGUGUGUGUGUGUGUGUGUUUGUCAUGUGUGUGUGUGUGUGUGUGUCCAGUGUGUGUGUGUCUGUGUGUAUCCAGUGUUUGUGUGUGUGUGUGUCCAGUGUGUGUGUUUGUCCACUUUGUUUGUCCAGUGUGUGUGUGUGUGUGUGUCCAGUGUGUGUGUGUGUGUGUGUGUGUGUAUUUUUGUUUGACAGUGUGUGUGUGUGUGUGUGUGUGUGUGUGUGUGUGUGUGUGUGUGUGUCCA
rnacentral:lncRNA from 1 species